rnacentral:rRNA from 1 species
GCAAGUCGAACGAAGCUUUUCGGAGCUAAGUGGCGGACGGGUGAGUAACGCGUGAGAAUCUACCUUUUGGAGGGGGACAACACUGGGAAACCAAUGCUAAGACCCCAUAGGCUGAAAAGUGAAAAACGAAAGUUGCCAAGAGAGGAGCUCGCGUCUGAUUAGCUAGUUGGUAGGGUAAAAGACAACCAAGGCGACGAUCAGUAGCUGGUCUGAGAGGACGAAC